UACAUGCAACAAUGCCCAACCCUCACGGGAAGGGUGCACUUAUUAGAUCAAGACCAACCGGGUUUCGGCUCGAAGUUUUGAUGACUCUGGAUAAUUGUUUCGAUCGCACGGCCUUUGUGUCGGCGACGUUUCUUUCAAAUGUCUGCCCUAUCAACUAUAGAUGGUAGAUAAAUUGUCUACCAUGGUGAUAACGGGUAACGGGGAAUCAGGGUUCGAUUCCGGAGAGGGAGCCUGAGAAACAGCUACCACAUCCAAGGAAGGCAGCAGGCGCGCAAAUUACCCACUCUCAAAACGAGGAGGUAGUGACAAUAAAUAACGAUGCGGGACUCAAUCGAGGCCCCGUAAUCGGAAUGAGUACACUUUAAAUCCUUUAACGAGGAUCAAUUGGAGGGCAAGUCUGGUGCCAGCAGCCGCGGUAAUUCCAGCUCCAAUAGCGUAUAUUAAAGUUGUUGCAGUUAAAAAGCUCGUAGUUGGAUCUAAGGAUUUGGACGGAUGGUACGCUUUAGGGUGUCACUGUCUGUCUGGCCUAUAUUAGUCGUGGAAGCCUUUAGUGCUCUUCAUUGAGUGCUUUGGGUGCCCGACGCAAUUACUUUGAGAAAAUUAGAGUGCUUAAAGCAGGCAUAAUGCUUGUAUACUGUUGCAUGGAAUAAUGAAAUAGGAGUUUGCUUCUAUUUUGUUGGUUUUCGGAAGUGAACUAAUGAUUAACGGGGACAGACGGGGGCAUUUGUAUGGAGGCGAUAGAGGUGAAAUUCUGUGACCGUCUCCCGACAAACUACUGCGAAAGCAUUUGCCAGGAAUGUUUUCAUUAAUCAAGAACGAAGUCAGAGGUUCGAAGACGAUCAGAUACCGUCCUAGUUCUGACCAUAAAUGAUGCCAUCUAGUAAUUCCCGAAGUUUGCUUGUACGAACUUGGGAGCGGCCCCCGCGAAAGCAAAGAUUUUGGGUUCCGGGGGAAGUAUGGUUGCAAAGCUGAAACUUAAAGGAAUUGACGGAAGGGCACCACCAGGAGUGGAGCCUGCGGCUUAAUUUGACUCAACACGGGAAACCUCACCCGGCCCGGACACUGUAAUGAUUGACAGAUUAACAGCUCUUUCUUGAUUUGGUGGUUGGUGGUGCAUGGCCGUUCUUAGUUGGUGGAGUGAUUUGUCUGGUUAAUUCCGAUAACGAACGAGACUCUACCCUGCUAAAUAGUACGCAGAUAAUAAUUCUGUCUGUGCUGACUUCUUAGAGGGACUAACGGCGUUUAGCCGUGUGAGAAAGAGCAAUAACAGGUCUGUGAUGCCCUUAGAUGUUCGGGGCCGCACGCGCGCUACACUAAUUACAGCAACGGGUAUGCUCCUGGUUAGAAAUGACUGGGUAACCCGAUUGAAUCGUAAUUGUGACAGGGAUCGAGGUUUGCAAUUAUCUCUCGUGAACGAGGAAUUCCCAGUAAGCGCAAGUCAUUAGCUUGUGCUGAUUACGUCCCUGCCCUUUGUACACACCGCCCGUCGCUACUACCGAUUGAACGGUUUAGUGAGGUCCUUGGAUUGACUGUA
rnacentral:rRNA from 1 species